UUACCUGUAGUUUGUAAAAUAUUGACCUUGGAAGUCAAAGUUCAAGAUUAUUUUUUCUUGCGGGUGAA
rnacentral:tRNA from 1 species